rnacentral:rRNA from 1 species
CCCUUAGAUGUUCUGGGCUGCACGCGUGCUACACUGAUAUUGCCAAUAUGUCAUUCUUAUCCGAAAUGGAUUGGGUAAUCAAGUAAUGAAAUUUCAUGCUUGGAAUCGGUAAUUGCAAUUUUAUCGUGAACGAGGAAUUCCUAGUAAGCACUAGUCAUCAGCUAAUUUUGAUUAUGUCCCUGCCCUUUGUACACACCGCCCGUCGCUACUACUGAUUGGGUGUUCAAGUGAGAUGCUUAGACCCUUGUUGCAUGGUUCAUUAUUGUGCUCCGAAAGGAAAAAGUUUCAAGCUUGAGUGUCUAGAGGAAGUAAAAGUCGUAACA